GCUGAGUCACCUGGAGGCUGUGCCGAAGCCUGGUUGUGCUAUAAGUUUUAUGUGCAGCAGACUCUAUCUUUCUCUCAGAAGUGGGUUGGGACAGUCCUUGGUAUCCAACCCUCCCUACAUUCACCUCCUUUGAGAAGAAAAAAAUAAGACCCAGAAGGUGAAGACUGAAGUUCAGAAAGUUAAAGUGAUUUCGCCAGGGUUCCUGAUUGGUAAGUGAUGGAGGCUGAAUUUGAGCCACAUCUAUAUGCUCCAUCAUCACUCUCCUGGGGAAAACGGCCUAGAUGCAUUCUAUCUGCAUUCCUGCUUAGAUUCUGCACGACUUCUCCUGUCCAUUCCCUCGGCCCCCUCUCCUCUAGUCCAUGAGAUUACAGCUUUGCACACUGACAAGAGGGUCCUUCUUAGCCUACACAUACAACCAGGCAUCAAAGGAUGGAAGGGUUCAUCUCACACACUCACAGACCAUGUAGACUCUUCAAUCUACACCUCCAGCUAGAACUCAGAACAUUGAUGGGGACCUGCUCUCCAAUCUUUCACCUCCCCUUUCUCCAUGAAAUAAACAUCAACAUUCACUCACCAGCCCACCCCCAGCCUACAAGGUGGCCCCUGCCAGAUCACGCUUCCCACUGUGGAAGAAGGCACAUAUGAGUGAGUGGGCUCAUCCUUUGACCUCUGUGUGAGAUAGCCUAUCCCACAGAGUCAGAGUGCAGAAUUCCCAGGGUAUCACAGGUGUGGUGAUUCAGAAGAGCAGCUGUCAAUGCAUCUGAGGGCACAGACCCCCCUACCAUGCCAGGCUGGGAGAGGCCACUCCUGUAUGUGGCAGGUGGCUUGUGCCCAGUGGCAUCAAGGCUAUGGCAGGGUAUAGCAGAGAUCUAAGGCCAAGUGGAAGUGGAGCUGUUGCUUUGGUUUUGAAAACCAAAUGAAUGGCUUUUACAAACCUCCACCCACAAUUCUGUGAAAAGAGAUAAGAAUAACUCUGACCCUACUCUUACCUCCCUCUUCAUCAAUUCAAACUGAAUGAAGAGCAACCCUAUAUGGAUACAAGAGGAUAGAUACAAUGAACUCAGCUGGGUCUAGCACCACUUUCAGGGAGGCGGAUGUCCUCACUGGGCCCUCUUGCAUCUCUUCAAAAUGAGAAUGACCAAGUUGGGAUUUAUCAUUCUGUUCUUGAAUCCCAAAGACUAUCCUUAGAGCAAAAUAUACUCUUUGAAGGAUGAGGAUGUGGAGAAGCACGGUAUCUUUAAAUAACAAGGGAAGGGAAUCUCAGAUUA